AUAUACUCCUAGUGACUAGAUUUUCAUGAACUGAUCCCAUUAGAAAUGCUAUGAGUAAUGAUUGCUUGGGGAUCUUAAGACAUCUAUGGUGCAGUGUGCAUCCCCUUUAUUUUUUUUAUUUUUUUUUACCACGUAACGCAUUUAAAAUCAUCUUUGUAAACUAUGGCAAAUGUAAAAGCCAUUCUCUGUAUCAGUCUAUUAAUAUGGUAAUCAAUUUUAUUGUAUGUUUUUCUUUCACUGUAUCUUUGUUGCUUUUGAUUAUUGAGUUGUUGCUUAAUAACUGUUAUUUUACUCCUCUCUUGUUAUCAAUCUUAAUAUUUUUUCUGAACUCUGCAUUCAGUUCUACUGUAUUCUUGUUGAUUUUAUUGUAUUGUAAAGCGCUUUGGGACACUGUGUAAAAGGUGCUGUUUAAAUAAAUACACUUUAAACCUUUAGAUAGACAGAGAUCAAAAAGGAUAUUUUUGUGGCAGCAAAUGGAAUCAAAUUAUACAGAGCAGUCGCCUCCAAGUCUCUGAAAUUCCACAUUACCCAAUGUUAUUAAACAGUAAUGAAAAACAAACCUUGCUCAACAAUGGGACAACUGUUCCCAAUUUAUGUUUGCAGCUGUGGAUUUAAGUCCCAGUAAAGCUUAAAGAAAAAAACAGUAAUCUGAAAUCACUUCAGGAAUGGGGGUUUCAGGCCUGUAGAUUUAUCAGAACUUGUUAUUAUUGUGCAGAUUUUGGCAUAAGGAUUCCCAUUGGCCAUAUUGAUUAUCAGAUCAAUGGAGGAAAAGACCAGCCUGGUUGCACUACGUCACAAACGUCAUAGUCUCAUCACAUUCUUGUGGAUCUGCAUGUAAGUCAACUGAGAAGCAGCAGUCGUAUCCAGGUGACUCUCAAGAGUAAAGGGGUUACCCAGUAGCAUAGCCAGGUUAAACUACAGAAAGGUGUUACAGGGUUUAAAAUGGUGAUGGCUCACUCAACAAUGCUGUGUAAAAUAGACUCCAUUGAACUGAAGAAUACAGGCACUCGGUUCUACCGAAAAGAUGAAAUUAACAUUGUGAAAAUCUGCAUUUCAGAAGUCCCUUCUGACAGGAAGGAAUCUCUCUGCAUUGAGAACAUUGAGCUUAAGGAAGGCAAUCCAUGGUCCCAUGACUUUGUGAAGCUCUGUAACUAGGAAAGAACUACUGAGUUCAUAACACAAGACAUCCCUGAACAAAAACCAACAUAUCGGAGGCCUCACUGACCCAGUUCAAUGUGUAUGCUAAAGAAGUAAUGUAAAGUAAUAGAAGUUUGCCUUUUUUAUGUUAUGCAGUAGUUGCAUUUUUCUGUAUUGUCGAUCCUAAAAAAAAAAAAUAUUCAUGCAAGUCUUCUUGAAAAACUAAUAUUUAAUUUGUAUUCUGCUUCUCUUCAGAUAAUGCUUAUAAAGUUGCUUAACUAAUCCCAUAUGUCAAUUCCUGAUAAUAAUAUUUUUUCUAUGAUAAUGAACGUA